rnacentral:rRNA from 1 species
CCUACGGGGGGCAGCAGUGAGGAAUAUUGGUCAAUGGACGAGAGUCUGAACCAGCCAAGUCGCGUGAAGGAUGACUGCCCUAUGGGUUGUAAACUUCUUUUAUAUGGGAGUAAAAUGUUCCUCGGGAGGGGUAUUGUGUGUACCAUAUGAAUAAGGAUCGGCUAACUCCGUGCCAGCAGCCGCGGUAAUACGGAGGAUCCGAGCGUUAUCCGGAUUUAUUGGGUUUAAAGGGUGCGUAGGGGGAUUGUUAAGUCAGUUGUGAAAGUUUGGGGCUCAACCGUGACAGUGCAGUUGAAACUGGCAGGCUUGAGUACAGGAGAGGUGGGCGGAAUUCGUGGUGUAGCGGUGAAAUGUUUAGAUAUCACGAAGAACUCCGAUUGCGAAGGCAGUUCACUGGACUGCAACUGACACUGAGGCACGAAAGUGUGGGUAUCAAACAGGAUUAGAUACCCCAGUAGUC